GGAUUCAGUCCCUUUUUCCAGGGGUAUGUAAGGGGGUCUAGUGUUCUGCUUUGCCAGAGUUGCAUCUGCUUUUGACAGGAAGCCUGGGUACCUAAGUUUCCUGUGGCUCUGUCUGUGUCUGAGUGGCUGCUCUGCUGCGACUCCACAUAGCUCUGUGUGUCAGACUGAAGACCCUUGUGGAGUGGGUUCGUGAAGAAGGCAGAAGAAAUCAGAGAGAAGGAUGGAGUGGGGAAAAGAAGAGGGAGGCUGACAGAGAAGCUUAAAGAAAUGCUUUCAGAUGGCAACAAAAGCCAAAAUAGACAAAUGGGAUUUAAUUAAACUAAAGAGUUUCUGCACAGCAAAAUAAAUUAUCAUCAGAGUGAACAGGCAAUCUACAGAAUGGGAGAAAAUUCUUGCAAUCUAUCCAUUUGACAAAAGGCUAAUAUCCAGAAUCUACAAAGAACUUAAAC
rnacentral:lncRNA from 1 species